rnacentral:rRNA from 1 species
UGAAUUCAUCUCCGGGGGUAGAGCACUGUUUCGGCUAGGGGGCCAUCCCGGCUUACCAACCCGAUGCAAACUGCGAAUACCGGAGAAUGUUAUCACGGGAGACACACGGCGGGUGCUAACGUCCGUCGUGAAGAGGGAAACAACCCAGACCGCCAGCUAAGGUCCCAAAGUCAUGGUUAAGUGGGAAACGAUGUGGGAAGGCCCAGACAGCCAGGAUGUUGGCUUAGAAGCAGCCAUCAUUUAAAGAAAGCGUAAUAGCUCACUGGUCGAGUCGGCCUGCGCGGAAGAUGUAACGGGGCUAAACCAUGCACCGAAGCUGCGGCAGCGACACUCAGGUGUUGUUGGGUAGGGGAGCGUUCUGUAAGCCUGCGAAGGUGGCCUGUGAGGGUUGCUGGAGGUAUCAGAAGUGCGAAUGCUGACAUAAGUAACGAUAAAGCGGGUGAAAAGCCCGCUCGCCGGAAGACCAAGGGUUCCUGUCCAACGUUAAUCGGGGCAGGGUGAGUCGACCCCUAAGGCGAGGCCGAAAGGCGUAGUCGAUGGGAAACGGGUUAAUAUUCCCGUACUUGGUGUUACUGCGAAGGGGGGACGGAGAAGGCUAUGUUGGCCGGGCGACGGUU